GGAUAUACUAAAAGAAGACAGAUCAGUCUCUCUCCUGAUAAGAAGAGUCACCAAGAGGAACAUCUGCAACAACUAGAUGCUGCUACAAAGAGACCAAUCAACAACUGCUCAGCAGAGAUACAGAUCUGAAGCACAGAAGUGCAAUAGACCUUCCUGAUGCCUUCGCCAGGAGCAUGGAAUUCUUCCCAGAGUCACAGAAGAUGGCACAGCCUGGGGACAAUUGGGAAUCACCUGGAGGAUGGCA
rnacentral:lncRNA from 1 species